CCUACGGGUGGCUGCAGUGGGGAAUAUUGGACAAUGGGGGCAACCCUGAUCCAGCCAUGCCGCGUGUGUGAAGAAGGCCCUCGGGUUGUAAAGCACUUUCAGUGAGGAAGAACGCCUGGUGGUUAAUACCCAUCAGGAAAGACAUCACUCACAGAAGAAGCACCGGCUAACUCCGUGCCAGCAGCCGCGGUAAUACGGAGGGUGCGAGCGUUAAUCGGAAUUACUGGGCGUAAAGCGCGCGUAGGUGGCUUGAUAAGCCGGUUGUGAAAGCCCCGGGCUCAACCUGGGAACGGCAUCCGGAACUGUCAAGCUAGAGUGCAGGAGAGGAAGGUAGAAUUCCCGGUGUAGCGGUGAAAUGCGUAGAGAUCGGGAGGAAUACCAGUGGCGAAGGCGGCCUUCUGGACUGACACUGACACUGAGGUGCGAAAGCGUGGGUAGCAAACAGGAUUAGAUACCUCAGUAGUC
rnacentral:rRNA from 1 species